rnacentral:rRNA from 1 species
GACGAACGCUGGCGGCGUGCUUAACACAUGCAAGUCGAACGGAAAGGCCCUGCUUUUGUGGGGUGCUCGAGUGGCGAACGGGUGAGUAACACGUGAGUAACCUGCCCUUGACUUUGGGGUAACUUCAGGAAACUGGGGCUAAUACCGGAUAGGAGCUCCUGCUGCAUGGUGGGGGUUGGAAAGUUUCGGCGGUUGGGGAUGGACUCGCGGCUUAUCAGCUUGUUGGUGGGGUAGUGGCUUACCAAGGCUUUGACGGGUAGCCGGCCUGAGAGGGUGACCGGCCACAUUGGGACUGAGAUACGGCCCAGACUCCUACGGGAGGAAGCAGUGGGGAAUAUUGCACAAUGGGCGGAAGCCUGAUGCAGCAACGCCGCGUGCGGGAUGACGGCCUUCGGGUUGUAACCCGCUUUCGCCUGUGACGAAGCGUGAGUGACGGUAAUGGGUAAAGAAGCACCGGCUAACUACGUG